CGCCUUAUACUCCUACGGGAGGCAGCAGUGGGGAAUUUUGGACAAUGGGGGCAACCCUAAUCCAGCAAUGCCGCGUGAGUGAAGAAGGCCUUCGGGUUGUAAAGCUCUUUUGUCAGGGAAGAAACGGUAGUAGCUAAUAUCUAUUACUAAUGACGGUACCUGAAGAAUAAGCACCGGCUAACUACGUGCCAGCAGCCGCGGUAAUACGUAGGGUGCAAGCGUUAAUCGGAAUUACUGGGCGUAAAGCGUGCGCAGGCGGUUGUGUAAGUCAGAUGUGAAAUCCCCGGGCUCAACCUGGGAAUUGCAUUCGAGACUCCACGGCUAGAGUGUGUCAGAGGGGGGUAGAAUUCCACGUGUAGCAGUGAAAUGCCUAGAUAUGUGGAGGAAUACCGAUGGCGCAGGCAGCCCACUGGGAUAAAACUGACGCUCAUGCACGAAAGCGUGGGUAGCAAACAGGAUUAAAUAACCUGGUAGUCCACGUACCA
rnacentral:rRNA from 1 species